UCAGGCAUUGCAAUACCAAAUCGUCAUAAUGAACUAAUUUCCUGCUUUUUAACAUCCAAAACAAAACAAAACUUCUAUGUAUACUUCUCAAAGGCUGUUAGCCGCAAUGUAUGGAGAUGCAGCUCAAAAUUUCUGCCCACUCUUACCCUAAGCCAAAAGAGGAGAAGGAAAAAAUUCCCCAAAUGUCAUCAUUUCCCAAAAAUUGAAUUGUGAGAAUAUUUGGCCACAACAAUGCCCCGGUUCGUGUAUUUGCAAAGAAGCAAAAAAAAAAAUCUUAAACUCAGCUUCAAAACUUAUUUCAAAUCAGCUGUGAACUUCAACGUUGUAUAAGGCUACCGUUUGCAAAGCUAAUGACAUCUUCAUCCAUUCAUCGAUCACCGAAGAGUUGUUAGUAUUUGCAGGGGAUUGGGUGAGCGAAAACGUUUAUAUUUGCUUCUUAACUAACAGAUGAU